rnacentral:rRNA from 1 species
UACGAAGGGGGCUAGCGUUGUUCGGAAUUGCUGGGCGUAAAGCGCGUGUAGGCGGGCGAAUAAGUCAGGGGUGAAAUGCCAAGGCUCAACCUUGGAACUGCCUUUGAUACUGUUCGUCUUGAGUCCGGGAGAGGUGAGUGGAACUGCGAGUGUAGAGGUGAAAUUCGUAGAUAUUCGCAAGAACACCAGUGGCGAAGGCGGCUCACUGGCCCGGAACUGACGCUGAGGCACGAAAGCGUGGGGAGCAAACAGG